UUUCCAGACUCCUACGGGAGGCAGCAGUGAGGAAUAUUGGUCAAUGGGCGAGAGCCUGAACCAGCCAAGUCGCGUGAGGGAGUACUGCCCUAUGGGUUGUAAACCUCUUUUGUCGGGGAGCAAAAGCCGGACGUGUCCGGCUGUGAGAGUACCCGAAGAAAAAGCAUCGGCUAACUCCGUGCCAGCAGUCGCGGUAAUACGGAGGAUGCGAGCGUUAUCCGGAUUUAUUGGGUUUAAAGGGUGCGUAGGCGGACGCUUAAGUCAGCGGUAAAAUUGCGGGGCUCAACCUCGUCGAGCCGUUGAAACUGGGUGCCUUGAGUGGGCGAGAAGUACGCGGAAUGCGUGGUGUAGCGGUGAAAUGCAUAGAUAUCACGCAGAACUCCGAUUGCGAAGGCAGCGUACCGGCGCCCAACUGACGCUGAAGCACGAAGGCGUGGGUAUCGAACAGGAUUAGAUACCCUGGUACUU
rnacentral:rRNA from 1 species